UUAACACAUGNAAGUCGAGCGCGGUCCUUUGGUGCUUGCACAAGAAGACUGAGCGGCGGACGGGUGANUAACGCGUGGGUAACCUGCCCUAUACACAUGGAUAACAUGCUGAAAAGCAUACUAAUACAUGAUAACGUACACUGAUGGCAUCUUCGGUGUAUCAAAGCGUUAGCUUAUAGGAUGGACCCGCGUCUGAUUAGCUAGUUGGUGGGGUAAAAGCCUACCAAGGCCACGAUCAGUAGCCGACCUGAGAGGGUGAUCGGCCACAUUGGAACUGAGACACGGUCCAAACUCNNNCGGGAGGCAGCAGUGGGGAAUAUUGCACAAUGGGCGAAAGUGAUGCAGCAACGCCGCGUGAACGAUGAAGGCUCCGGAUCGUAAGUUCUGUCGCAGGGGAAGAUAAUGACGGUACCCUGUGAGGAAGCACCGGCUAACUACGUGCCAGCAGCCGCGGUAAUACGUAGGGUGCUAGCGUUAUCCGGNNNNAHGGCGUAAAGGGUGCGUANNGGUCUUUCAAGUCGGUGGUUAAAGGCUACGCUCAACCGUAUUAGCGCCGAAACUGGAGACUUGAGUGCAGGAGAGAAAGUGGAUCUCAGUGUAGCGUGAAUGCGUAGAUAUUGAGAGACACCAGUAGCGAGGCGGCUUUCUGGACUGUACUGACACUGAGCACGAAAGCGUGGGUAGCAAACAGGAUUAGAUACCUGUAGUCACGCGUAAACGAUGAGUAUUAGGUGCGGGUACCCCCCCUCGUGCCGCAGUUAACGCAUUAAAUACUCCGCCUGGGAGUACGCACGCAAGUGUGAAACUCAAAGGAAUUGACGGGACCCGCACAAGUAGCGGAGCAUGUGGUUUAAUUCGAAGCAACGCGAAGAACCUUACCUAAGCUUGACAUCUCUCAGAUCGGUAGUUAAUCCUACCUUCUUCGGGGCUGAGAUGACAGGUGGUGCAUGGUUGUCGUCAGCUCGUGUCGUGAGAUGUUGGGUUAAGUCCCGCAACGAGCGCAACCCUUGUCUUUAGUUGCCAGCAUUAAGUUGGGCACUCUAGAGAGACUGCCAGGGAUAACCUGGAGGAAGGUGGGGAUGACGUCAAAUCAUCAUGCCCCUUAUGCUUAGGGCUACACACGUGCUACAAUGGGUGGUACAGAGGGUUGCCAAGCCGCAAGGUGGAGCUAAUCCCUUAAAGCCAUUCUCAGUUCGGAUUGUAGGCUGAAACUCGCCUACAUGAAGCUGGAGUUACUAGUAAUCGCAGAUCAGAAUGCUGCGGUGAAUGCGUUCCCGGGUCUUGUACACACCGCCCGUCACACCAUGGAAGUUGGAAACACCCGAAGCCGAUUAUCUAACCGCAAGGAAGAAGUCGUCGAA
rnacentral:rRNA from 1 species